AAAAAGGGCGCGUCACAGAAAUCAAGGUCCCCCCUUGGUUUCUAACUUGUGACAAGAAUUCAUUUCUUGCGGUAUGGCAAUCAAGACAUAUCGGGCGCAUAAUUUUUGUGCGGUGGAGUAGAUUCUCUUGGCUGCGCUUCCUCAAGGCCGGAGUCUACUCUU
rnacentral:snRNA from 1 species